rnacentral:rRNA from 1 species
GAUGAACGCUGGCGGCGUGCCUAAUACAUGCAAGUCGAGCGAACGGACGAGAAGCUUGCUUCUCUGAUGUUAGCGGCGGACGGGUGAGUAACACGUGGAUAACCUACCUAUAAGACUGGGAUAACUUCGGGAAACCGGAGCUAAUACCGGAUGAUAUAUUGAACCGCAUGGUUCAAUAGUGAAAGACGGUCUUGCUGUCACUUAUAGAUGGAUCCGCGCUGCAUUAGCUAGUUGGUAAGGUAACGGCUUACCAAGGCAACGAUGCAUAGCCGACCUGAGAGGGUGAUCGGCCACACUGGAACUGAGACACGGUCCAGACUCCUACGGGAGGCAGCAGUAGGGAAUCUUCCGCAAUGGGCGAAAGCCUGACGGAGCAACGCCGCGUGAGUGAUGAAGGUCUUCGGAUCGUAAAACUCUGUUAUUAGGGAAGAACAUAUGUGUAAGUAACUGUGCACAUCUUGACGGUACCUAAUCAGAAAGCCACGGCUAACUACGUG